AAUGAACGUUGGCGGCGUGGAUUAGGCAUGCAAGUCGAGCGCUCAUCAGCAAUGGUGGGAGCGGCGAACGGCGUAGUAAUGCAUCGGAACGUACCCUCUGGACGGGGAUAGCCACGGGAAACUGUGGGUAAUACCCGAUAAUCUCUGCGGAGCAAAGGUGUGAUUCCGCCGGAGGAGCGGCUGAUGUGAUAUUAGCUAGUUGGUGGGGUAAAGGCCUACCAAGGCGAUGAUGUCUAGGGGGUGUGAGAGCAUGGCCCCCACGACCGGAACUGAGAUACUGUCCGGACACCUACGGGUGGCUGCAGUCGAGAAUCUUCCGCAAUGGACGAAAGUCUGACGGAGCGACGCCGCGUGCGGGAUGAAGGCCCUUGGGUUGUAAACCGCUGUCAGAGGGGAUGAAAUCGUCGGGGGUACUCCCCCGAUGUUGACAGAGCCUCAAAGGAAGCACGGGCUAAGUACGUGCCAGCAGCCGCGGUAAAGUCUAGC
rnacentral:rRNA from 1 species